CCGCGCCGCGGCCCGUGCUGCUGCCUACCUGGGCCGGAGUGGCCAUAACCAGGACGGGCAGCUCGCUGCCAAGAUCCGGCCCCAGGGCUGCGGUGUGGCGGCCGGGAAGGCGCCGAGGCCCCGCGGUCUGGAAAACCCGGGGGCCGGUUACAGCUCGGGGAGAUUCCCACAAGGAUCCCCAUUUCACUUUUGAGAUAUGAAAUAACUGCCAGAAAAAGCCUGAUUUACUCCAAACUCACCAGUGCUUUGGAGGUGAAAAAGGAAAGGAGAAAAGAUGUGUUCUGUCCAACUCUGAUACGAUAACCGUAAUUCGGUAACCAGAGGAGUUCUCCCGGUGAUUGAAGAGAGAUGGAUCAUGUCAGGGCCCCAGUGCAGGAAGAGGCUGACAUGGCUGUGAGACACCUCACCUGGGACCUUCAGCCACACAGCUGCUGCCACUGGCCCAGGACCUCUAUUUAAGCUCUGGCCCAGGCAAUCAAUCUCUGUGUGAGCUCUGCUGUAAAUGUGCUUCUUUUUAGCCCUGCUCAUUGAGGUGGUGUUUUGUUUAGAUUUUGUGGGUUAAACUUGAGUUUGUUACUUCCCUUUGCCUGAUACUGGCUGCAUAGUUGGUGGGACCUGUUGCCACCACUGUCCCUGCUUUCCUUGUCCUGCCCUGGUGUGGUGGGACUAUGCUGUGUUGGUGAGGUCAUGCCUGUACUGUGCUCAUCCCCAGGUCCCCUUCCCUCACAGGGCAGCCCUGCUUUUCUUGCUCCAUAACAACUUCUGACUUGCUUUGCUGGUUACCUUAACUUCCUAGUUUGGAUUUUCUUUCAUUCCUGCAAAUACAAAGUCCAUCUAUAAAAGGAGAAGG